rnacentral:rRNA from 1 species
GAUGAACGCUAGCGGCAGGCCUAAUACAUGCAAGUCGAACGGGAUUGAGGAGCUUGCUCCUCAUGAGAGUGGCGCACGGGUGCGUAACACGUAUGCAACCUACCUUAAUCAGGGGAAUAGCCUCUCGAAAGAGAGAUUAAGACCGCAUAAAAUCACACUAUGGCAUCAUAGAAUGAUCAAAUAUUUAUAGGAUUAAGAUGGGCAUGCGGAACAUUAGCUAGUUGGUAAGGUAACGGCUUACCAAGGCUACGAUGUUUAGGGGAUCUGAGAGGAUGGCCCCCCACACUGGUACUGAGACACGGACCAGACUCCUACGGGAGGCAGCAGUAAGGAAUAUUGGUCAAUGGGCGGAAGCCUGAACCAGCCAUGCCGCGUGCAGGAAGACGGCCCUACGGGUUGUAAACUGCUUUUGUACCGGAAUAAACCUACUUACGUGUAAGUAGCUGAAUGUACGGUAAGAAUAAGGAUCGGCUAACUCCGUGCCAGCCGCCGCGGUAA